AUGGAAGCUUUGAAGCCUCUUACUCUUAAGAAUAAGAAACAAGUAGCUGUACCCAAUGCCAACUUGUUUCCUGAGCCACAUGCAUCUUGGGUUAGUAAAGGAAAGUUUGCAGUUGCAGCCGUCACUCUAGAUGAUUAUCUUCCGAUGCGAAGUACUGAAGUGAAAAAUCGGACAUCAACAGAUGGAAUCAAAAGUCUCAGACUAAUCACAGCGGUCAAAACCCCCUAUUUGCCAGAUGGAAGAUUUGAUCUUGAAGCAUACGAUUCUCUGAUAAACACACAAAUAAAUGGUGGUGCGGAAGGUGUAAUAGUUGGAGGAACAACAGGAGAAGGUCACCUUAUGAGCUGGGAUGAGCACAUCAUGCUCAUCGGGCAUACUGUUAACUGCUUUGGAUCCAACAUUAAAGUGAUAGGUAACACGGGAAGUAACUCAACCAGAGAAGCUGUUCACGCUACAGAGCAGGGAUUUGCUGUUGGCAUGCAUGCAGCUCUCCAUGUCAAUCCUUACUACGGGAAGACCUCAACUGAAGGCUUGAUCUCUCAUUUCAAGGAAGUCCUCCCAAUGGGCCCAACAAUCAUUUACAAUGUGCCAUCCAGGACCAGUCAAGACAUACCUCCUCCAGUCAUUGAGGCGCUUUCAUGUUACUCAAACAUGGCAGGAGUUAAAGAAUGCGUUGGGCAUGAGCGGGUUAAGUGCUACACUGACAAAGGCAUAACAAUAUGGAGCGGUAAUGAUGAUGAAUGCCAUGACUCAAGGUGGAAGUACGGCGCUACUGGAGUCAUUUCUGUGGCGAGCAAUCUUGUUCCCGGUCUCAUGCACAGCCUCAUGUUUGAAGGGGAGAAUGCGGCGCUAAAUGAGAAGCUGCUGCCUCUGAUGAAAUGGCUGUUCUGCGAGCCUAACCCGAUCGGUCUCAACACCGCCCUGGCUCAGCUCGGUGUAGUGAGGCCUGUUUUCAGGUUGCCAUACACUCCCCUCCCUCUUGAAAAGAGGGUUGAGUUUGUCCGGAUUGUCGAAGCCAUUGGACGGGAGAACUUUGUGGGACAGAAGGAGGCCCGGGUUCUGGAUGACGAUGAUUUUGUGUUGAUCAGCAGGUAUUGA
rnacentral:rRNA from 1 species